GAUGAACGCUAGCGGCAGGCUUAAUACAUGCAAGUCGAGGGGCAGCAGGUCCCGCAGCAAUGCGGGAUGCUGGCGACCGGCAAACGGGUGCGGAACACGUACAGAACCUUCCUUUAAGUGGGGAAUAGCCCGGGGAAACCCGGAUUAAUACCCCGUAACAUAAUGAAGUGGCAUCACUUUAUUAUUAUAGCAGCAAUGCGCCUGAAGAUGGCUGUGCGGCUGAUUAGGUAGUUGGCGGGGUAACGGCCCACCAAGCCUACGAUCAGUAACUGGUGUGAGAGCACGACCAGUCACACGGGCUCUGAGACACGGGCCCGACUCCUACGGGAGGCAGCAGUAAGGAAUAUUGGGCAAUGGACGCAAGUCUGACCCAGCCAUGCCGCGUGGAGGAUGAAGGUCCUCUGGAUUGUAAACUUCUUUUAUCUGGGAAGAAAUCUAUUUUUUCUAAAGUAGUUGACGGUACCAGAUGAAUAAGCACCGGCUAACUCCGUGCCAGCAGCCGCGGUAA
rnacentral:rRNA from 1 species